UUGAAAGACAUCAGGUAAGUUACGCUAAAGUGCGUUUCAGAGCUCUUCAGUGACUUGUGUUUACUGCGAAACAGAUUGGGCAUACGCUUCACCCGUGCAACUUCGUCAUGUGCUCCACGGCUUUACGGCUGUGCCACUAUGUGUGGAAACGUCGUAGCGGAUGAAUGUGAAUUAUGGAUCUCCAAGUGGCGUCGCCCGCGUCAUUUUCAAGAUUUUACCCGUUUUGAAGGCAAUAGGGCUGUUGAUAGGGAGAAUGCUAGGCUACUGCAGACUGCAACCAUAGGCGCUGUGUCUAAAGGUAUGCGUAUACGUCGAUGCGUACUUCACAGUGACAUUUUGCUGUAGCAGUGUUUUUGAAAUUACAUUUCUUGCAGGUUAAGCUCACAUGACGCGGCAGAGAAGGGAGUCCGUGGCGAAAAGUGAAUAUAGCCGAAGUUGGAUAGCGUUAAUUUUUGCGCACGAAAGGCAAGCUGGACACAUCGCAAAUCUCCAGUUGUACGAAACACAGUGCAGCAUGGUCGUCGGUUAUGCCAGUGCUUCAACAUAUGUUUCAGCGUCGCACUUCGGACAUUGCGGGCAUAUACCUUUAAGUUUUUCCCCUUGUGGACCGAUGCUGUGUGUGUUCAUGGACAUCAUG